rnacentral:miRNA from 1 species
UAUUGCACUUGUUCCGUCCUGU